ensembl:misc_RNA
UUGACAGCCCUGGAGACUGAUGUCCUGAUUAUCCUCAGAACCUGUGCACAUGGGCAUUUUCCUGCCACUGUGACUCAGCCUAGAGGUGGGGAGCCUAAUUCUCAGGUGAGAUGGUAGUUCAGUAUAAAGCCUUCAGACUGCAGCCAUU